UUUUGUCUCUCCUGCUUUCUUUUUUUUCUCUCUCCCUUUACUAUAAUCUCCUGGUGGUGGUGUCUCCCCCCCCCACCCCCCCGCAGGGGUGACACGGACUCCCUGGUUCCAGCCUCUAUCCUAACAGCGCUUUCUUAUUUGACGAGAGGUGUCAUUAAACUGGGAUUAGAUACCCCACUAUGCCCAGCCGUAAACAAUUAACUUACACCUACCAGCGCCAGGAAAGUACGAGCAAUGCUUGAAACCCAAAGGACUUGACGGUGUCCCACCCACCUAGAGGAGCCUGUUCUAGAAUCGAUGAUCCCCGAUAUACCUCACCACUCUUAGCGUUUCAGUCUGUAUACUUCCGUCUCAAGCUUACCAUGUGAAUGCCGUCAGUAGGCCAAAUGAUUAAUCGUCAAUAAGUCAGGUCAAGGUGCAACUAACGGAGUGGAAAGCAAUUGGCUACAAUUUCUAAAUUAGAACAUACGAAAAUCAUGUGAAAUCAUGAUAUGAAGGCGGAUUUAGUAGUAAAAAGAAAAUAGAGAGUCCUAACAGGCGGGGGUG
rnacentral:rRNA from 1 species